GAUGAACGCUGGCGGCGUGCCUAAUACAUGCAAGUCGAGCGAACGGACGAGAAGCUUGCUUCUCUGAUGUUAGCGGCGGACGGGUGAGUAACACGUGGAUAACCUACCUAUAAGACUGGGAUAACUUCGGGAAACCGGAGCUAAUACCGGAUAAUAUUUUGAACCGCAUGGUUCAAAAGUGAAAGACGGUCUUGCUGUCACUUAUAGAUGGAUCCGCGCUGCAUUAGCUAGUUGGUAAGGUAACGGCUUACCAAGGCAACGAUGCAUAGCCGACCUGAGAGGGUGAUCGGCCACACUGGAACUGAGACACGGUCCAGACUCCUACGGGAGGCAGCAGUAGGGAAUCUUCCGCAAAGGGCGAAAGCCUGACGGAGCAACGCCGCGUGAGUGAUGAAGGUCUUCGGAUCGUAAAACUCUGUUAUUAGGGAAGAACAUAUGUGUAAGUAACUGUUCACAUCUUGACGGUACCUAAUCAGAAAGCCACGGCUAACUACGUG
rnacentral:rRNA from 1 species